AAGACUAAACUCUCAGGGAUCCUCCUUUCUCUAGUCCAUUAUUGGAGAAGUUUCCCUGAUCGAGUAGAGCACCCCAAAUGACCAGGAGGAGCCAGAGCUUCCUCUCCGGAGCGCGAGGUCAGUUCUAGGUCUUACUUUUGCAACUGCCUUUUAUCACAGAUGCACGUUCUCCUCUUCCUCUGGAAGAACUAGAGGGAGAGGCUGUAGUCUGAGUGGU